CUCAACUAAGGUACGGGGGUAGAUACUGCAUAGCUAGAGGUAGUUAGAGGCCAAUGGAAUUCCCGGUGGAGGGGUGAAAUCCGUUGAUAUCGGGAAGAAUGCCGAAAGCGAAAGCAGUUGGCUAUAACUAACCUGACGGUCAGGGACGAAAGCUUGGAUAGCAAACAGGAUUAGAUACCCUGGUAGUCCAAGCCGUAAAUGAUGCUCGCUAGGUGUUUCCUUAAUUUAAGGGAGUGCCGUAAGCUAACGCGUUAAGCGAGCCGCCUGAGGAGUAUAGUCGCAAGACCGAAACUCAAAGGGAUAGGCGGGGGAAUACACAAGUGGUGGAUCGUUUCGAUUAAUUGGAUAAUGAGCCAAGAAUCUUACCCGGGCUUGACAUAUAAUCUGUCCCCUGUGAAAGCAGGGUAUCCUAACUUUGUUAGGAGGG
rnacentral:rRNA from 1 species